rnacentral:tRNA from 1 species
CGGGCUGUGGCGCAGUUUGGUAGCGCACUUCACUGGGGGUGAAGGGGUCGCAGGUUCAAAUCCUGUCAGCCCGA